CCAUGUCUACUGUAUUGGCUCAGAAUGAGAUUUGAGCAGCAUCUUGCUGCAUGCUCCCUAAGGAUGGGUAAAAGUAAAUGCCAUGAGUAUAAAAAGACGAGGCUUCUGUAAGAUCCAGUAGAUGCACACAGCUUCACAUUUGCUGCUCUCGCUUACUGAUCUGGCCAUUCUCAAGGAAGUUGUCAUCCAGGAGUCACGAAGUUGUAAUGCAGAGAUAAGUCAUAGAAGCUCCAGAGAGGACAGACCGCUAUUCUUGUUCAUGAACAAGAUGUGUUUGCCACAGCCUGCCAUUUCCUGUUGCAAGUCUUUGCGCUUCACGGAAGGACUCUAGCCACUGCAGCACAUGUGGACGUGGAGCACUGUCAGAUGUGUUGGACUGAACAGUGAGAAGAUGGCCAUCCAUAUAUUUAGUGUGGAAGCUUUUGCUUAUGGUAAGUCAGAUCUCUUAAUAUUGUUUUACCACAUUUUUUGAGCUUCAUAUUUAAUUCAGGUCAAAUCUGAACUACUAAACAGAACUGUUACGUAGUGCACGUACCGGAUAAAUGAAGUGCAGUUUUAGUAUAGCUCUGACCUAGUUACUUCCUAAAAUGCUGUCUAAAAGCAGAAAUUGAAAUCUCUUAUCUAAACAAAAAAUGAAUCUUUUUUCUCCUGCUUAUUGUGGCACUUUGCAUGUAUUUGGUUUCAAAGACUGAUAAAGCUUACAAUUCUGAAUCUUUCAUGGGUAUCAUAAAGGCUUCUUUUUUCUAGUAACCCAACCCAACAGCAUAUUGUAGUAAUGAACGUCUGCCAUCUGAGAUAUACAGAGCAAUCUUGACAA